rnacentral:rRNA from 1 species
ACUGCUAUUGGGAUUCGACUAAGCCAUGCGAGUCUAUGGACUUCGGUCCAUGGCGGACGGCUCAGUAACACGUGGUUAACCUACCCUUAGGUGGGGGAUAACCUUGGGAAACUGAGGAUAAUACCCCAUAGGAAAAGAGGUUUGGAAUAAUCCUUUUCUGAAAGGACAUCCGCCUAAGGAUGGGACUGCGUCUGAUUAGGUAGUUGGUGGGGUAAUGGCCCACCAAGCCUACGAUCAGUACGGGCCUUGAGAGAGGGAGCCCGGAGAUGGGGACUGAGACACGGCCCCAGGCCCUACGGGGCGCAGCAGGCGCGAAACCUCCACAAUGCACGAAAGUGCGAUGGGGGAAUCCCAAGUGCCUAUGUAAAACAUAGGCUUUUCCCAAGUUUAAACAACUUGGGGAAUAAGGG